CAACCCUCAGGACUCUUCGGAGAACUGGCGUUGGGGAUCAGCGUAGGCGCGGGUUCGCCCGCCUGCUGGCCCUGAAAUACAGUGGCGGUCUUGCUCUGACUCCCUUGCGUAGUAACUUACCUCGCCUGCGGAAGAAUAGCCUGACCACGCCGUAAAACCCCCUACUUUUUUAU
rnacentral:misc_RNA from 1 species